CAAGUCGAACGCGAAAGCCCCCUUCGGGGGGCAAGUAGAGUGGCGCACGGGUGAGUAACACGUAGGUAAUCUACCUUUGGAUGGGGAAUAACCACCGGAAACGGUGGCUAAUACCGCAUAAUGCAGCGGCACCUAAUGGUGACAGUUGUUAAAGCGGGGGAUCGCAAGACCUCGCGUCUGAAGAGGAGCCUGCGGCAGAUUAGCUAGUUGGUAAGGUAAAGGCUUACCAAGGCGAUGAUCUGUAGCCGGCCUGAGAGGGCGGUCGGCCACACUGACACUGACAUACGGGUCAGACUCCUACGGGAGGCAGCAGUCGGGAAUUUUGGGCAAUGGGCGAAAGCCUGACCCAGCAACGCCGCGUGAAGGAUGAAAUCCCUCGGGAUGUAAACUUCGCAAGAACGGGAAGAAUAAGUAAGAGUUAAUAUCUCUUAUGAUGACGGUACUGUUUGUAAGCUCCGGCUAACUCCGUGCCAGCAGCCGCGGUAAUACGGGGGGAGCAAGCGUUGUUCGGAUUUACUGGGCGUAAAGGGCGCGUAGGCGGCCACCGCAAGUCGACUGUGAAAUCUCCGGGCUUAACUCGGAAAGGUCAGCCGAUACUGCGGGGCUAGAGUGCAGAAGGGGCAACUGGAAUUCUCGGUGUAGCGGUGAAAUGCGUAGAUAUCGAGAGGAACACCUGCGGCGAAGGCGGGUUGCUGGGCUGACACUGACGCUGAGGCGCGAAAGCUAGGGGAGCGAACGGGAUUAGAUACCCCGGUAGUCCUAGCCUUAAACGAUGAAUGCUUGGUGUCUGGGGUUUUAUAGUCCCCCGGGUGCCGU
rnacentral:rRNA from 1 species